AUGUCUCAGCUUAAGUUGCUUUCUGCUACACUGUGAAUGGCUCAUUAUAUCAGCCACAAAUUGAUUGGUGGCUGACACAUAUGGAUAUCUAUGGCAACUCUGUAGCUAACACAUGCUCGUUGACCCUGCUGGAUGGGUUGUAGCCAUUCUCACAAGAACCAAUUCAGGCUCUGCUUGGCCAAGCAUGAGUACAAAUGGCUGUAUGAAUCACGGUGUCUGUGCAGGUGAUAAUCCUUCAAGGUUUCUGACCUAUCAGCUUCCGACGGCAGGGUAAUGGCCCACUGUGGCAGUGACAGGUGACGGAGGAUUAGGGUUUGAUUCCGGAGAGGGAGCCUGAGAAAUGGCUACCACAUCCAAGGAAGGCAGCAGGCGCGCAACUUGCCCAAUUCUGGACGAAAGAGGUAGAGACAAGAAAUAGCAAUUCAAGGCAUCCAUGUCUUGUACUUGGAAUGAAAGACCUGCACACUUCCUUUUGAGUAUCUAUUGGAGGGCAAGUCUGGUGCCAGCAGCCGCGGUAAUUCCAGCUCCAAUGGCAUAUGUUAGAGUUGUUGCAGUUAAAAGGCUCGUAGUUGGAUUUCUGCAGAGGAUGCCUGGUCCGCCCA
rnacentral:rRNA from 1 species